rnacentral:rRNA from 1 species
UACGGAGGGAGCUAGCGUUGUUCGGAAUUACUGGGCGUAAAGCGCACGUAGGCGGAUUUGUAAGUUAGAGGUGAAAGCCCGGGGCUCAACCCCGGAAUUGCCUUUAAGACUGCAUCGCUUGAAUCCGGGAGAGGUGAGUGGAAUUCCGAGUGUAGAGGUGAAAUUCGUAGAUAUUCGGAAGAACACCAGUGGCGAAGGCGGCUCACUGGACCGGUAUUGACGCUGAGGUGCGAAAGCGUGGGGAGCAAACAGG